UACGAAGGGGGCUAGCGUUGUUCGGAAUUACUGGGCGUAAAGCGUGCGCAGGCGGCUUCUCAAGUCAGGGGUGAAAGCCCAGAGCUCAACUCUGGAAUUGCCUUUGAGACUGAGUGGCUUGAGUACGAGAGAGGUGAGUGGAAUUCCCAGUGUAGGAGGUGAAAUUCGUAGAUAUUGGGAAGGAACACCGGUGGCGAAGGCGGCUCACUGGCUCAUUUCUGACGCUCAGGCGGCGACAGCCGUGGGGAUCAAACAGG
rnacentral:rRNA from 1 species